CCGAGAUAGCUCAGUCGGUAGAGCA
rnacentral:tRNA from 1 species